AACGACUCUCGGCAACGGAUAUCUCGGCUCUCGCAUCGAUGAAGAACGUAGCGAAAUGCGAUACUUGGUGUGAAUUGCAGAAUCCCGUGAACCAUCGAGUCUUUGAACGCAAGUUGCGCCCGAAGCCAUCCGGUCGAGGGCACGUCUGCCUGGGCGUCACAC
rnacentral:rRNA from 8 species